GACGAACGCUGGCGGCGUGCCUAAUACAUGCAAGUAGAACGCUGAAGGUGGAGCUUGCUUCUCUGGAUGAGUUGCGAACGGGUGAGUAACGCGUAGGUAACCUGCCUGGUAGCGGGGGAUAACUAUUGGAAACGAUAGCUAAUACCGCAUAAUAGCAGUUGUUGCAUGACCACUGUUUGAAAGGUGCAUUUGCUCCACUACCACAUGGACCUGCGUUGUAUUAGCUAGUUGGUGGGGUAACGGCUCACCAAGGCGACGAUACAUAGCCGACCUGAGAGGGGGGUAGGCCACACUGGGACUGAGACACGGCCCAGACUCCUACGGGAGGCAGCAGUAGGGAAUCGUCGGCAAUGGACGGAAGUCUGACCGAGAAACGCCGCGUCAGUGAAGAAGGUUUUCGGAUCGUAAAGCUCUGUUGUAAGAGAAGAACGAGUGUGAGAGUGGAAAGUUCACAAUGUGACGGUAUCUUACCAGAAAGGGACGGCUAACUACGUG
rnacentral:rRNA from 1 species